UGAUGAGGUAGAGGUCGCGGGCUUCAAGAGUACGCUGUGGGAGAUGGGGAGAACAUCGAGGAACGCAGGGGAAAGGGAAGACCGCCGAAGUUUGCCUGGAUUCUCUAGACAGGCAGGCUGGGGCUGUUUCCGAAUAGGAACAGAACUGUCACGCGUACUUUCCGGAUACGCGUGUUGCGCUAUCUUGCAG
rfam:Aneurinibacillus migulanus strain DSM 2895 super7, whole genome shotgun sequence.